rnacentral:misc_RNA from 1 species
AAGUCGUAACAAGGUUUCCGUAGGUGAACCUGCGGAAGGAUCAUUAACACGUAUCCAACGUUAAAACCCCCCGUGAACCUUCAGUGUGCUCGUACGCUUUGUUAGAAAGUAGCAAUCCCUGGUAAAUCAUCGCCGAACAGUUUUGAUUCAGGGACUUCUGUGGCCUGGCAUCCUUGUCUGAAAGUGUCAAGGGUGGCGCAGUCACGAUCGCUAGAGGCCGACACGGCCGGCGACCGGGUCACCGGGCUCACGCCCCUUAAUAACCUUUGCAUGAAAACGGGCCUGCGCUUAAUUGUGCGGGCAUAAACCGAACAACUGUUAACAAUGGAUAUCUUGGUUCUC